UAGCGAACUUCUGCCCUCCAGGGAUCCCCCAUUGUGCUGUAAGCCUGUAUUUAAGGUUGCCUCCCUCUUUCAAUAAACGGCAUUCAGCAUUUAGCCGUGGCGAAUGACUUGCUGUCUCUUGUCCCUUAUUUUUUAAUCCACAGCCCCUCGCUUGGACAUGGUGAACGGGUAUCGGUAACGCGGGCGUUACUACAACAAAUGGAGGUCCCUACCAAGAUUCUACCAAGACCCUACCGAGAUCCGAGAAAGAAGGAACAAGCUGAUGGACACUCUUGGAAGGCUGGCCAGCAUUUUAAAGAAAAAAGAAAAGGGUGCGCCCAGCGGCAGCAGCGGCAGGCAAAGGCGUGCAGGAGAUAGCCCGGAGCGGCGGGCGGAUGGACAGGACAAUGAGGUUCCUCUUUGGGUUCCUGAGCACUGUGUGCCCCUGUGGCUGCUGCUGAAUCCCGACAUGGCAGAGACCUAUUGGGCCUUCAUGAAAAACUCUCCCCUUCUGAUGCCAAUGGAGAUUGAGAACCCAAUAAGGCUAGCCUUGGCAAACAUUAAUGUAAGCCUAGGAACUGUAGCCAUGCGGUUGGUUUCUUCAGAAGGUAAUGUAUGGUAACUUUUAUCAAAAAUGUUGAGAAUGUGUCACCCAGACACCUUGGAGAUUAAGGAUAACUCUGAAGGUCAAUGACCUCCAUUUGUUAACAAUAGCAUGCCAGCUUAGCCUUUUUCAUUUUCACAAUCCUCUUCAAGCUGGUGUAGCACCUACUUUUCAAGAGUGGCUCUGUGCAACAUUUAUUGGCCUCCUGAGAUUCAUCUAGCCUUUUUGAAGAUACCUUAAAAUUUGUGAGCCUGAAUGUAGCCAUUAAUGAGACCAUUAGUUCUGCUCCUUGUUUGCUGCUUUUGUUUUUGUUUUCUUUAUGGUUCUUAGUUGUUCUUUUGCAGAGUGCUGGGAUCAAGAAAAAUGGGCCUUGGUGGUUCGUGUUCCUGGAGCUGUGUCCAUGCCAGUGGACCGUGGCAGUUAGACAGAGAUGAUGUUCACACGCUCCAGAAGAGACUCUGACAUCGCUGUUGCUGUUGUUGCUGUUAUAGCGGUGGUGGCCACUGCUGCUAUUGUUUCUGGGAUUGCUAUUUCUUAAUUGGCUACUACAGCUAGCACAAUGGAGACCCUGGCAGCAAAAGUAGCUACCACAGUUAAUCUUUCAUCUUAUUGGGCAUGAUAAAUUUAAUGCUACAUUUAUACAUUUAAAUUGGCUUUGAAAGUUUAAAAAUUAUUAAAACUCAAGUUCCAUUUGCUUAUGGGAUACCACCUUACAAGGACUCCAAUUUGCAGUAAGGCUCGUUUAAGAAGGGAAUGGCUCAGUUGCCUUUAGCCUCCUGGCUAUGGGUGGGUUAGGACUUCUGUUGGUCUUUUCUGUGUCGCACAGAUUGCAAGCCCAGCGCCACUUUGAGAUCUUUGGCAGCAGUCACUCUACAGCUCACGUGGUUGAGUCUGUAUGAUAAUGAGUAUUCAGAGACGGGUAAUCCUUGGGGGGCGGUCAUCAACCUAAGACAGAGCCCUUGUGUGGCCUGGGCAGGUGUCUCCAUGACGGGUAAGGUGACCUGCUGACGUCCCACGCAACCUAAGUCAGAAGCUCAUUUUUUUAGUAAAAAGGGGGGACCUGUGGGCCCUGGCCCCCCACUGUAAGUGGCUGCCGCCUUGCUUGCCAACCUUGACCAGAUGUCCUCCCUAUUCAGAUUCCCUGCUGGUUUCCUUCUCACCUAAUGAUCAACCGGAGGUUCUUUGUUCCUGUAUCCUGCAUUUGGUGUAAACAGCUUAGAUGCAAGAAUGUAGCGAACUUCUGCCCUCCGGGGAUCCGCCAUUGUGCUCCCCUCGCUCGGACAUGGUGAACGGGUAUCGGUAACGCGGGCGUUACCGCAACACAAGGGUGGUUGUGCAGCUUCCUGGAGGACACUGAUGGGACUAACCACAUCCUUUCCUUUCUGUGCUGCUGGAACCCUGGCAACUGCCCACCGAUGGGACCAACCACAUCCUUUCCUUUCUGUGCUGCUGGAACCCUGGCAGUUGCACUGACCUAGCCAGUCUGGGAUGGACACGCAGCAGAGGGGAACAAUGGUUUCGUGUGGAGAGCCACUGAGGUUUGAGGCCAGCCUUACCAGAGCAAGAGUUAGUGAAUACUGAUGGGUAAGUGACCUGCUCAGAGCCGGCUGCUGCGGAGACUGCCUGCCAAGGAGGAGCUGGAGAGUUUUUCUGUUCCCCACGGAGAGGCCCUUUCAUGUCUGAAUCCAGAGGUUCUCUGGGUCCAGUGAGUCCUGGUGAGAACCUGCUAGCACUGGGCCUGUGACUGGGCUCCCAAAGUACCCCGUGGAACCUCCAUUUUCACACCCAGGAGACUUGGAAGACCUUAUAUACGUUCAUUCAUCUUCUCAGCAGGCUCUGCUUCAGCUCCUGCCUCCAGGUUCCUGCCCUACUUGAGUCCCGCCUUGGCUUCCCUUAGUGAUGGACUGUGACCUGUGGGUUAAAUAAACCCUUUCCAAAAGAUGCUUUUGGUCCUGGUGUUUUAUCACAGCAAACUAAGGCAAUAGAGUGAUCAGAAAGCGUUUCCUGUACUGUAGAGGCACAUUUGGAGAUGUCGACUCCUAGGGCUGAGGUUUUGAAUUUUGUAAUGUUGGCAGAGCUUUUAAAAGCACCCACAAAAACUGAGCUAGGGGGUUGACUUGCUGGAAAGACUCUUGAGAUCAACUUAUCUUUUCUUUCAUUACCUGCAAGUUUGUGGUCAGCCCACGCUCGCUCCCAUUCUCUGUGCUGUUGCAGAGACCAUUCUCUGUUCUGCUCCUCUUGGAACCUCUUCCUCUCUAGGAAGUUUAAAUCCUC